rnacentral:rRNA from 1 species
AACUCAAUCUCAAAUCAGGUAGGAUUACCCGCUGAACUUAAGCAUAUCAUU